rnacentral:rRNA from 1 species
AAGCGUGGGUAGCAAACAGGAUUAGAUACCCUGGUAGUCCACGCCGUAAACGAUGUCUACUAGUCGUUGGGUCCCUUGAGGACUUAGUGACGCAGCUAACGCAAUAAGUAGACCGCCUGGGGAGUACGGCCGCAAGGUUAAAACUCAAAUGAAUUGACGGGGGCCCGCACAAGCGGUGGAGCAUGUGGUUUAAUUCGAUGCAACGCGAAGAACCUUACCUGGUCUUGACAUAUCUAGAAUCCUGCAGAGAUGCGGGAGUGCCUUCGGGAAUUAGAAUACAGGUGCUGCAUGGCUGUCGUCAGCUCGUGUCGUGAGAUGUUGGGUUAAGUCCCGCAACGAGCGCAACCCUUGUCCUUAGUUACCAGCACUUCGGGUGGGAACUCUAAGGAUACUGCCAGUGACAAACUGGAGGAAGGCGGGGACGACGUCAAGUCAUCAUGGCCCUUACGACCAGGGCUACACACGUGCUACAAUGGUAGGUACAGAGGGCAGCUACACAGCGAUGUGAUGCGAAUCUCAAAAAGCCUAUCGUAGUCCAGAUUGGAGUCUGCAACUCGACUCCAUGAAGUAGGAAUCGCUAGUAAUCGCGGAUCAGAAUGCCGCGGUGAAUACGUUCCCGGGCCUUGUACACACCGCCCGUCACACCAUGGGAGUUGAUUGCACCAGAAGUGGUUAGCCUAACUUAGUGAGGGCGAUCACCACGGUGUGGUCGAUGACUGGGGUGAAGUCGUAACAAGGUAGCCGUAGGGGAACCUGCGGCUG